GUGGUGGUGGUUGUAGUCGUAGGUGCGGUGACGGUGGUGGUGGUUGUAGUUGAGGGGCGGUGACGGUGGUGGUGGUUGUAGUUGUGGGGCGGUGACGGUGGUGGUGGUUGUAGUUGCAGGGGCGGUGAAGGUGGUGGUUGCUGCGGUGGCCGUAGUUGUGGGGGCAGUGCUGGUGGUGGUUGUAGUGGUGGCGGCGGUGGCAUGUCGCUUCCUUCCACCGACAGCUCCGCGUGGGCCGCGGCGGGCUCUGACCCCUGAGGGAGGAGGAGGGGCGGGUGGAGCUGGGCCGGCGGCCUGAGCGCUGUCCUGCCGCCGAGCCCGCGGGGCGGCCGCACGUGCCGCGCUGCCGUUGGCUGGAGGGCCUGGAGGAGCCACCGCCCGGCCAGCCUGCGGGGUCGGGGCGUGCGGCUCUGCGGGUCCGGCCCUGGAGCUGAAGCGCCGUGGUCGCAGGUGGGGCUGCAGCGCUAACUUGGUUAUCCUGAGAACACGCGCUUUCUUGCCCUGGAGAAUUGCUGUUGAAGAGGGACAAGAGAGGAGGACAACGCAGGAGGAGAUAAGUAGCUCUGGCUGGACACAAGGUGGUUUCUCAGAAGAGCUCUGUGAAGUGUAGCUAUCGAGUUUCCAUUCAAGGAGAAAACAGGCUCCUGGACAGUCGGAGACCUGUCCAUGGCAGUCAUCCACCAAAAGGGCCAGUGCUCCCUGUCUUUGCAUCUUGACAGAACUGUCAGCUGGUCUCAAGAAGUUCUCAUGGACAACAGCAUGGGGAAUCACGUCUUCAUAUUAUAGCUUUAGCUCUAAAAUUGGACCAGUUAUUAACUUCUGGUCCAAUCUAUUUCAUCACUUAUAAAGGAGAAAAAAAAAACACGUUUGAAAGAGCUAUGAGCUCAUAAAUUUUUGAAAAGAAAGAUGCUGGAUAAUUGUAAAUAAAACAUAUUUUAAGAAUCUCCUUAUGAAUACAUUGAAACUGCAGGCAGCACAUAUUGAGCACCUCCCAUGUGUAAAGCAUAUUGUGCACUGCGCCAGUAGACCCAGAGAGAUGAGACAGGAUCAUGGCCUUCAGAGAAGAGGCAAACGCAGCCUGCUCUCCCUUCAAAGACUCAUCUAGAUAGAGAACUGUCCUUGAGAAAAGUCUGGUGCCGUCUGCCUUACUCUAGAGACAGGAGAGGUGUUAAUACUUAGGUCUGAAAUGGGUCAGUUUUUUUCCUAAAUAUUUGUAUUAAAGUAUUCACAUUAAACAAAACUUGUAAAAUACAGAAAAAAAGAAAAAUUACAUAUGUAUAUUCUGAAUUUUUUAAAUAAUGGUAUUUAUAUCUUACACAGAGAUUUUUCUUGGCUUUUCUUUAACUUGAUGGGAUAUCUAAAUGUUCUGUAUCAGUGCAUAACUUUGCAAAUAUAUUUUAAUGAUUACAGAAUUUCAGAAGGGAUCAAUUACUAUGUAUGUCAAUAAUCUGGCUAUUUUUCUAUGGCAAUUACUGAUGUUAUUUUACACAAAAUGAUGAAUAAAAGAUUCUAAACUAAGCUUGGCUACUACUAAGAAAUACUUCCUAAAAGUAUUUUUUUUAAAUAAUGAACUAAGUAGAUUACGUUCAAAUCUUUCUUUAAGAGCAUCAAAAUCACUUAAUUUCUUAAACUAUCCAUAGAAAUUUCAAUUUAUGUACAGUUGACCUAAAUUAGAAAUGGAUUUUUUUAAUUGUGAAAUUUAGAAACAAAAACAUUUUUUAAUGCAGUUUCCAUUAUAGUAUUGUGUUCCUCUGAAAUAAUGUCUCAUUACUCUAAAGGUAUAAAUACUAAUCAUGUUGAAUUUUUACUGUAUGGAGCAAUAUAAUCUAAUAGUUUUCAUUUAAAAAACAAGGACUGUAUAAAUUCUGAAUUCUGACAUUAUUCUAAUGAAAUUCAUCUUAAAUUCACCUAAUGUCCCUUUAGAAAUACGAUCUUCUAUUUCAACAGCACUGCGAGGGCAUCCCUGGGUGAGAGCCGCUCCUUGUGAGGAGCCCAGUGGAGCAAGAACCCCUGAAUGGGAGAGCUGAGCCGGCAGGUGGUGGAGGGGUGCAGCCUGGGAAGUGCUGACAAAGAUGUGCCUGGAGGAAGAGAGGGAUGAGGAGUGGGAGGAAAGUCCCUCCUUAGCCUGAUGGCUGGCAUGCCCUGACGCUCUGGAAUCCCCCUCCCUAGAGAGAAUGCCAGCCAAGGUGGGAGAGGAGGGGCUCCCACAGAGGGGGGCGUAGGGUAAUGACUACCAAAAGCUCUCUGAGGAGCUUGGAUAGCUGCUGUCUGGGGAACGCUGGCCUAGGUUGUAAUCAGUAUUAUUUUAAAGCAGAGUUUGGCAAAUGAAUAAAAAUAUGAUGAAUGAAUGAGCGACUGAAUGAAUUGUUUUCUCACCAAAGGAUCUGGAUAUUUGUUUCCACUCUUAAACGUUUUUUCAAUUAUUAAUUUUUUGUGCCCAAUUUACAAUGAAAACACCAUUUUUAUUGAAUUAUCAUUAACUAUUUCAUAUUUAUUCAAACCCACACCUUCCCCAACUCCACAGAUGAUUCAGAAGAGCUUAUAAUAAGCAAAACAUCAGACUAGGAAAGAGAGUGAGAGAAGUGAUUCCACCUCUCCAAGCCCCGUGUCCUCACCUGUGUGCUGAUGGUAAUGUACAUGACUGAUCAUACGUGGAAGGGACACCAUGAGAUCGUGCAUAAAAUGACAUUGCUGGACAUACAACACAAACGAUGUAGUAAAGUUAAGGCUAUAAACUUGAGGACACGGUUUAUCUAGCUUCUCAACUUAUUUCUCAUUACCAUUUUAUUAGAGAAUGUUAAUUGAAUUAAAAAUAUAUUAAUUUCUAGAGUAGAAGAGUUUUUAUUCUUUAUAAUUCUGUAAACUCUAUACUAUCCAAGAUAAUGCUUUGUUCCUAGAAUUUGCAUUUCUUAAUCUCCCAUGUGUCCACAAUCCAUGUGAAAAUGUUCUUUCAGCCUUCAGCCAUUUUUGAGAAGCAAGGACCAGGUAGGUCUAUAUUUCUAAUAAUUACCAAAAAAAAAAAAAUCAAGGGAAAGUUCAUCAUCAUUGCCAUUAGCAAGAAACAUAAUGAGAAUUAGAAGCCUUUGAAUUAGGCUAAAAGCAGUGUGGACUAGUAAGUGUAAAGUAUAAAUAGAAGAAGACGAAGAUUAAUUUUAAAGGGCAGAAUUUUGUACAUUUAUUUUACUUAGAUUUCAGAUCAGUUCUGUGUGUGCUUUCCACAUAAGGAAGCAGAGACCACUGUGUUUCUUGUCUUUGGGUGGGUUUUCUGAAGACAUGAUGAGGGCCAGAUGUCAGCACUGUUGACACAGUUGGCUGGAACCUUGGCCCCCAGAGAGAUGGUGGGUGGAAGGAUGCAGAGCAGAGCCUGCACACUGGGUCCUCUGCUGACAUGAAACACUCCCAUUCCUACAGUCCUACUGCAAGCAUCCAGAGGUCAGCGCAGGUGGCAAUGAGAUGGAUACGGAGAAGUGGGGAGCCAGGGGAAGAAGCAUCCUCGUUCUUUCCUGGGAUAGAGUCAUCUACAUGCACCUUUGCAUUUUCAUGGCCAAAGGAUUGUCCUAGUGUACAUAAAUAAAGUAAUGAUAACUUCCCCAACCUGCUGAUAAGUGCCUAAAAUCUCACCAUUCAAGUAUGGGCCAUUUAAUGUAAAUACUCUGCUAUCUUAAAAUCCGGAGAACUGGGUAUGUGAAUGGAAGGAGAUGGGGGAACUUGAGUGGCUGUAAUAUUUUAAGCUGUUCUUAGUUAUGCAUAGCUUAGGAAAAUGCAUGAUUAUAGAGUCAAUAAGAGGGUUCAAGACUGAGUGGUUUAGGGUAGUUAAGAAAAACUUGAAAACUUUAUCUGGGGCCAGUCUUAAACUGUCCACCACCAGAAUGAAUUAAUCCUUCCAACAGUUAAAACUAAUGUGGGGACGAUUAUAAAACCUGACCAGGGUAUAGACAUGAGAGCUGCACUUUUGGGUGGGGAGACUUAUAGGGACCUUGUGUGACAGGGCUAAGGCAGCCAAGAGUCCUGUGGUUUUGAACUAAGUAAGUAGUUUUCUGUGAGCAUUUCCAGGAUUAGAUCUGACAAAUCAGGGUCUCAUGUAUUGGACAUAAUUGAAUCUUGUUCUACUAUAUUCAUUUUUAAUUCAUGAUUUUUUAAUGGAUUCACUGGUCACGUUUCUCAGGUAGUGGCAAGACUUUUUAGUCUUAAGUAAAUUUAUUUAGUUCUGUCUUUCUGGAUUAGUGGGUCUCUGCCAGGAAGAUACAGCAGGAUCAUUUGAUAGCUUGUGCAGAAUACACACUGAGCACCCUCCCUACCUGAGUGAGCACCGCAGAGGGGAUGGGGCAAGAGGCCAUCCCGGCAUGUGGGUUAGAAGAGCCGUCCUGGUGAUUCUGUUGCCGCCCUCUCAUUUUGGGAAUUGCUGUUCCAAAUGGAACCAAUCCUGCUCAGUUACCAGAAAAUAAGCAAAUAGCUUAAACUACAUAACAGUGAGUCUUGCUUAAACCGACAAAAUUGCUCAGCCCUUGUUGGGAUAGGUCUGCUUUUCCUUUCACACAGAUUUCAUUUAGCUGAUGUCUUGCUAAAAAGCAGCCCAUAUGUACUGGCAGUGAAGCACUGUCGUUAUUAAAUGCCCUUCCACGUAUGAACCCUUGCAAUCAGAUCUUACCAUCUUCCAUGCUUUGUGCAGAAUCUUUUAUGUUUAUUCGUAGAGCUCUGAGCAAAGGGCUGCAUCUUCCAAGUUGUGCUAAGGUUUACUGCCUCUUUCACGUGUUCACUGAAUUGUUAUUUGAGGUUGUACACUUAGUGUGUACUAGUGACUGCUUUUCAUUCUUAAAGUUAUUAUAUAAAAGUGUAAGUUUCUGAGGCUUACACUUGGACAGGAGAUCUGUCACUGUGAGAAAAACUUAUAGGAGUAAAACUAUUUUCUUUUUGUGAACAGUUACUGCUACACAAUGUCUUCACAGGGUGUAGGGCUUGGUAUUUAUCUGUUUUAAUUAAACAGUGCCCUGCCUGUCUACCGGUGACUAACUUGAAAGCAGUGGGUGUCUCGGAGCAGCUCACAGGGCUGGCAGCUGUGCUGAGCCUGGUGAACUGACUCGCGCUGCAGGCACGGUGGCACAUGGACGCCAAGCGCUAAGAAUUUCUGGAAUGCAGAAUUGCAGGGCACUGAUAGAGUCUGCUUUGUUCCCCUCUGUGACUUGACCCAUUGAGAAAAUGUGGUUCCCUAGGAAGUUUUAAUAGUUCAAAGUCCUUAGUUAAUAACGAAAAAGGCCACAACAUAAUUCAGCUUGUUUUCACCUGCUGCCUCCAAGAUUAACUUUCCUAACCUUAAUGGGAAAGAGUUACCCUUGGCUUUGAGAGAGUAAUUUAUGGAGCUCUUCACGUUAGUUUGGGUAAACAUGACACUGUUUGUGUGCAUUUUGGUCUUGUUUCGGGUUUGGUGUCACUAACUCCUAAGACUUCUGCCACUUCAGAGCCUAUGGUCACUUCAUCUAAAAGCAAACCCCGGGAGAGGCGGCCCGCUUCUCGGCCCUCGCUUGGUCCUCCCUCCCUGGGAAGGGCGGCGGAGCUUCGCCUCGGGUCUCCCUCCUCCGUCUUCCUACGAGGACGGGAGCGGAGCGCCCCGCGCGGAUCUGCGGCGAGCGCGCCCCCGUCCAGCCGUAGGCGCUGCGCUUUGCAGGGCAAGUUCCGAUCCGCGAGGCGCUCGUGCCGGGCGGGCCGCGUGCUCGCUCUCGGCCUCUCCGAUGGGCGACGAGGGGCCGCCCGGGAGCGGGGUUCGGGGCGCAGGCGGUGGAGGACAGCAGCACGCAAGCCCUCUCUCGGCGGAACCCGGAGCGCGGGAAGCGGACCAUCGCCUUUUCGCCGUCUGAGUCCGCCGGCACGCGGCGUUGCGGUCAGGGCGCCCACUGCGUCGGGCCAGCGCGCCCCGCGCGGCCUCCCCGAGGACGCAGGCACCUGCGGGCCCGGCCCGGUCCCCGCGGGAGCCGCCUCGGCCGACACGUCUCCAGGCGACCUCCGCGGCUCACCCGGCCUUGGAGCGCAGAGGAGCCCGCGCCCCGGCAGCGGGCGCCUGUAAACACCCGACUGGAAGCCGUGGGCGGCGGGCUUUCAGUCGGGUGUCUGCAGCCGCCGCCUGCCCCGCCCCGCGCCGCGCUCGGCUGGCCGUCUCUGCGGCGCACUGCGCAAGCUGGGGAGGCGUCCGCGGAUGGCUCCGGACCAGCCCCGCGCCUCCGCGGGAGCCUGAUCUGCGCGCGCAGGAAGCAGUGUGAAGAGGCAGAGAAAGGUAUCCACCUAGAAUUAUUAUUGCCAGUCGCACUCGGCUGGUGACCACAGCUUAUGUCAGCAGCCAUGACGCCGUGUCCCAGCUGCGGGACAGCCCACCUGAGGGACAGCAGAGGAGGCAGAAGAGACCCUCACUCCCAGAGCUGCCGCUGCCGGAAACAGGCCUUCCCGUGCCUGGGCGUGGUCUGGGCUCCAUCCACAGGAGCAGUCUUCUGGGAAGCAGGGCCAGCCCAGUCACCAACCGGACAGGCCAGGCUGGUGAGGGCGGAAAACGUCAUCUGAAAGCCGUCCUUCCCAGGGCUUCAGAAAAGGCGAGACUGCCCACCGACGGCCCAAGAAAGACCUGUGUGUCCUGCAGCCUCGAGCUCUGCUUUGCAGGCCUGAGCUCACCACUGUCUGGCAGGCGUCUCUUGCUUCUGAGGCGCCCCUAAAGCACUUUCGCUCUCUGUAGGCGCUUUGACGGCAGCUUCUGCGGGUGGAUUCUGGCCCACAGGAGAGGCUCAGAUGACCGAGUUAGAAUUUGAGGCUCAUCCAGUGUUAAUCUUAGUUGUGUGCACAGUAUCACCCCCAGUUUUAAUGUUUGCUCAAUACUCUUUUCUCUGGAUGAAAAGAGAAGGGAGACUCACACAUCCUGGAGGAAACAUAGGUUUUCUUCUUUUGUCUAUCCCUGAACGGCCAAGGACAGUGCUUUCAAGUGGCUUAUGGAAAGGAUUGAGAGUCGAGGGUAAAGAAGACAGAGAGAAGCUGCUUCCGUUGUCAGCCUCUGAAGUCCAUGAACAGUGAAAGUUCAGCUGAGGUCUACAAAAAUAUUAGCAAUGCCAAAAGGCCGGCAGCCAGGAUGUGUCUUUGUGCAGGAACUGAAUGGCUACCCCAGCUGGAAAAGUUUAAAAACCCUGGCAGGGGUGGAACAGUCCUAUAAAAAAGACAGUGAGAAAGAAGUGUUUCUGAAAUAAUUAGAUUUAUGAACCUGUAAAAGAACGUUCUCCACAGACUCUAAGCCUGUAAGCAUGGGCGUGACGGAAAUGCAAGGAUUUGGAGAUAUUUAUCUAAUUUUUAAAGAUGCUAUUAGUAACAGUGGUUGAAAUGAAUCUGAUGAAACAUGAAAUUUUUUAGUACAAGGAAGUAAUAUGCAUAAUUAUUAGUCAAAAUUUGUUUGCAACAGGCAACUACUUAAAAUUCUAAGAUGAUUCCAAGUUAUUCAAAAUGUUAAUCACAUGACAUCUUAUCAAGAUGGAGAUUUUAACUCAGUAGUAACUUUAAUUAAUUACAUUAAUAAAAUCAUGGUUGGCCUUUCUUAAUUAUUUUAUGCUUCUGAAUAUUUAAAUUAUAAAUAUAUCUGAUUCAUCUUUUUAAAAAAGAUAUUAGUCAACACAGUAAAAAAUUUAGGCUGUAUAAAAUGAAUUGAAACCAAUGCCAAAAGUUGAAGGUGCUCUUUAUAAAGUGAAAUGUGCAUUUUUAAGACAAAAUAUAAGUGACAAAAAUACGAUUAAUGCAAAUAUUUGGGAUUUUAUUUACUAAUCAAAUUAUAAAACACGUAAAUGUUUCAAAAAUGCUUGGUCAAUAAUAAUUUCCUUUUUUACAAGUAGAAUCCGUAGUUUUAGUUUAGCUUUAUCAGAAAUAAAUUUAUUGCUUUUAUUUCUGUAAGGACAACUUUUCUGUUCAAUCAAGUAUCUUAAUAGAUAUUUGGCUGUAAUGACAGAAAAGAAACGGUAGAGGGCACUUUAGUUCUCUAACAAAAUAAAACCAUUCCUAAAACCGUCUAUAAAUCAGGAAAGCAGACAACGGGGAGACCUGAGCUAUCUGGUCAAGGUUAGACAAUAAUGUGACACGAGUUUCCCUGCUCCCCACAGCCUAACGGGGACGUCUCAGGCAAACAGAGUCAUUCCGUAAAUCAACCGGCAACGUGAAAAACAAGUGUUCUCAGACCUGCAGAUCUGUGGACCCAUCAUUUCAAGAGUAUUUCAUUUAAAAAGUACCACAUCUAUUUGGAAAUUGCCUGAUCUACUGAUCGGUAAACUCUCACUGUCUAGAAGUUUUAAGAGGGAGAGUGAGUGCUUUAAACAGGUCGACGAUGCACUGGGGCGUACCUCUCUUGUCUUGGUCCGAUUCCCACUAGGAGCCUAUGACCUCAGACUUGUUACUUAAUCACAAUUUCCUCCCGAAUCGUCUUUGUAAUCAUCGUCGUCAUCACCUCAAGGAAGACGCCUGCUUUCAAGCAGCUUCCACUCUGUUCUAGCUGAAAUAAGGUCAGUAUAAGAAACAGCUCCCAGGAGGGAAAGACAACGCACAGUUAAAUGUAAAUUGUGUUGUUCAGCGUGUACACAAUUCCUGGGCUGCUCGUUCUGAUUGCCUGGCCUCGGUUUUACAUUUUAUACUGAGGUUCUGUACUGGAUGAUGUGGCUGGAUGAAGCUCUGUCAUCCAUUCCUGUUUUGUAUGUUGUUCUAUCAAAUUUGGUGAUCUAGUACCCAAGCUCUCAACAGGUUUACCGCGGUUCUUAACAUCUUGGAGUGUAAAGACCCACUUGAAAUCUGAAGAAGACGUGGAGCUCCUCUCCCCAAAACGCUCUACAAGACAGCUCACUCGAAAUGAGCAAGGUUAACCCCAGGAGGUUCAGGACCCUGAGCUCUGCCACAGGCCCCCUGGUGACCCACAGACACGACGCCAGGAGUCUCCGACAGAGGCGCACGCCACACGGCUCCCACGGGUUCCAGAGUCAUUUCCGGAAAGUUCACGUGUUGCGGUGGGGUUAAGAUGGCGAUGAGGCUGGAGAGGGAGGUGUGCCAUGCCAAGCAAUUUUGGAGUUUUUUCCAUAAGCAACAGGAAGUGUACUGAAGUGUUUAAGCACAGAAGUGAACGAUCUGCAUUUCAAACAGCAAAACCAGAGAGUAGAAUGCAAAAUAAACAGGAGAGGAAAGACAGGAAGCAGAGAGAUCCUCACUCAGUCUGCCAGCACCAUAAUCUGGGCGAGGCACAGGGAGAGCCUGUUUAAAAUCUUUCCAAAACUCCGGAUGCUCCCUUUUCUAAGACAGGCCUACGCUGAUUCCGUGUAAUAAGUAAUGGGACAGAAGUUUCCAAACACCAAGGGACAUUUGGAACUAGACAAAGGAUGUUCUGCAGUUCCCUCGUCUUGUCCUCAGGGCGGCAGAGGGCACUAGCAUGCCUGCCUGGUGGACAGCUUCAGACGCCUGGGCAGCCUGGGAGCCUCCAGGAGGCCAGGCGUGGGCCUCCCGAACACGCAAACCUGGAGGCCUUCGCUCAGCACCCACGGCUUCAGGGAGAAGCGUCUGUCCUCUCACCGUAUCCCUCAGGGCGGACAGGAUGGGCCACUCAAGAUGUUAUUGGAGGCUGGACCGUGAGGAAAUACCUCUGCAUUCUCUAGAAGCCAAAAACAACAAGCAAGCAGAAUUUCUGGUGAGGGAGAUUUCUCACAGAACUGUGGUGAAAAUUUAAUGAAAACAAGCUUUGGGGCCAGCCCUGUGGCCAGGUGGUUAAGUUCACAUGCUCCACUUCGGCGGCCCAGGGUUUCACUGGUUCGGAUCCUGGGCGCCGACACAGCACCGCUCAUCAGGUCAUGCUGAGGCGGCAUCCCACAUAGCACAGCAGAGGCACUCACAACUAGAAUAUACAACUGUACUGGGGGACUUCGGGGAGAAGAAGAAAAAAAAACAUUGGCAACAGUUGUUAGCUCAGGUGCCAAUCUUUAAAAAAAUUUAAAAAACAACCCAAUCUGUAUGUAUGUGUCACUGGUCUUCCAGGAAAUUUGCACAUGGAUCCUGAUAUUGUCACAUAUUGCCACAUCCCAUUUGUUUGCUACAAGAAAGGGAAGAUCAUUAAUGACAUGCUGAGCAUCAGCUGCAGAGAUGUUCUCACUCUUACAGAAGGGAGUUUGGCCAAUGGCCCCCAAGAAUAGGGCCAGAAAUAAGAAUUGGAGAAAAGGGAUUAGAUUCAAGCAUUAGUUUGUUGAUUCUACUCAGAACUUGGCAUUUACUAAGAUGUGGAAAGUGAAACCAACAGUUCCAGACCUCCUGUUGAACUAAACCCACCGCCCCACAGGAGGCUCUGACCAUCUGGCCCAACCCACCUCCAGCCACAUGCCCCCACUGCCCCCUCACAGGCUGUGCUCAGCGACUGAACCGCCACACCCCGACGCCGCUGUCCCCUUGGCCUGGAAGGCCCUCUGAUGCCUCUCCAUCAGACGAAGUCCUCUCCAUCCCCAGGCCCAGUCCCAGAGCCACCUGCUCUGUUAGGCCCUUGUGAAUGCUCCUGCCCACUUGCUGCAAAAACCAAUGACUCGCCCCUCUCCGGGCCGCCUAGGACUGCCUUCACGUGUGUAAUGCUCAUCAAAGCAUCAUCCACACCCAUCUUCCCAUUGCAUUUUGGAAGGAGCCUGGUCUAAUUCCUUUUGUUUCCCAAGCCACUAGCAUGGUGUGGGCACAAAAUAGGAAAUAGAUCAGUAUUUGUUGAAGAAAGACAGGGAGGGAGAGAAAGAAAUUCCAGUCAAGAGGCUGUUAGAGUCAUCCAGACAGAAGGUCUCAUAGGAGCCUAAACAUGGAAAGUGGUGCUGGGAACAGAAAUUCACGAUUAUGAAAAUAGAAGAGAUUAGAUUAGACUGGUGAUUAAAUGCAGGGAAUGAGAGAGAAAUGGGACUUAACGGGUGAUUCCAACCAAGUUUUCUGGCCCAAGAGACUGAGAGAACAUAAACAGAGGGUACUGACCCUGUGGGAGGCGGGCAGCAGGUGAAGUCCUGCUUCAGACUUCUCCCUCCACGCUCGGGCCGCCCCACGUGAGAGGUUAGCAGGUGGUUGUGUGUUCACAGUGAAGGAUCUGAUGAGAGGCCACGUGCAGCAUCCGGGAAGACUCAGGAGCCAAGGAAGGAGAGCAAUUCCGAGAGCGGGACGCCCCAGAGACAGGCUGUUGAGGCUAAGCCGGAGGAGGACUAUGGGGCCACAGCCAUCGCAGCCUCAGAAAGAGCAGCCCUACUGGGGCUGGAGGGUCCCUGGAGUCGUUGGGAGAGGGCGGAACCUCGAGUGUGACGGCGCUCAGAAACAUGAACCCGAAAGACCUUAAAUAGUCCCUUCCACCAAAAGAAACAAAGGCUUGCAUUAAAUCCAGCUGGAAUUGUGUGCUCAGCUGAUCCAAGGCUGAGCCUGGAACGGGUCGGGUUUAACGUGAGUCCCCCCCCGGAAGCCUGGGUGGGCUCCUGUCCCCCGGUUGCCAGGUGGAAUCGUUCAGAGCAGCAGGAGGAGAGCUGAAAUGUCUGCCUUCCUCGCACUG
rnacentral:lncRNA from 1 species